AGUGAACGCUGGCGGUAGGCCUAACACAUGCAAGUCGAACGGCAGCACAGUAAGAGCUUGCUCUUACGGGUGGCGAGUGGCGGACGGGUGAGGAAUACAUCGGAAUCUACUUUUUCGUGGGGGAUAACGUAGGGAAACUUACGCUAAUACCGCAUACGACCUACGGGUGAAAGCAGGGGAUCUUCGGACCUUGCGCGAUUGAAUGAGCCGAUGUCGGAGUAGCUAGUUGGCGGGGUAAAGGCCCACCAAGGCGACGAUCCGUAGCUGGUCUGAGAGGAUGAUCAGCCACACUGGAGCUGGGACGCGGUCAAGACUCCUAAGGGAGGCAGCAGUGGGGAAUAUUGGACAAUGGGCGCAAGCAUGAUACAGCCAGACCGCGUGGGUGAAGAAGGCCUUCGGGUUGUAAAGCCCUUUUGUUGGGAAAGAAAAGCAGCAGGUUAAUACCACGCUGUUCUGACGGUACCCAAAGAAUAAGCACCGGCUAACUUCGUG
rnacentral:rRNA from 1 species